UCUACUUUGCUGGAGUUUCAUAAGUGAGCCUAGGAUACAGGCUUACCCUUUACAGUGAGGGCAACUGGAGCAGAGCUCUGUGCAAGGCCACUGAUGUUGUAAAGGAUACUGCUCAGCAGGCCAAGCGCCAUCUGGAUAAUUGUUUAGAGGUGAUUGGUAUCCAGUUGUGUGGAGCUAAAUACACAUUGUAUUCCUUUGAGAGAAAACAUGAUCUGCAUCAUCUUGUGCAGUGUGUGCUGAACUGGGUGCCCCCAGGGCUGCAGAGCCAAUCAAAGCAAGGAGAACUUGGUUGCGGCAGGAGCUGAGCUGUGGGAGAGGAGAUUGAUGCAGGCAUCUCCAGCCCUGAUUCCUCAGUAAACUGUGAAUGAAGAAAUAAUUCAAGAAAAAGCAAACCAGCUGAGAGUGAAGCAAUAUUUGGUUAAAAAUCCAGCUGUGGAGGCACGAGUACCUCAGUGAGCAUCACCUACUGAGACCGCAUGACCUUGUGGAA